GCGGGGCAGCUGCUGGCCUGGGCAGGGCCUCCAUCUGCGGUGGCUGGAAUGGAAACCCUCACGCUACCCGAAAGGGCUCUGAAGCAUCUCCAGCCCAAACAGGGCAACAAGCUUCUGAAAAAUACACCGUUACCAGGGCUCAAUAAGACAAAGCACCUAUUCCUCAGCUUGAAUGCACCUCCACUUUGAAAAUACAGAUUCUACUAAUUAGACUACUACUGCUGAUUUUAAGAAAGAGCAGGAUACCAGUCUCGGAGAAGACCAAACUUGGGCUCUGAUCUCUUGUCAGGUUCUAAGCUGUUGAGUCUUCAUACAGAGGGCUCAGAAUCAAAUAUUCUGGGGUGGACACUGAAUCACAGCCCUCCUUCAUCCCUAGUCCUGGUUUCAAAGAUGCUGCACUUCAAAUGCACCAGUACCUUUGGAACAGAGGUAAGCUGCCCCCACAUGUCAUCAC